rnacentral:lncRNA from 1 species
AAAUAUAUAACCUCAUGUCCUCCAAUGCAUAUAUUAAAAAUACAUCUACAUGCGUUAUAAUGCUCACUGAAAACUAGCUUGAAACUGGCAGAAAACUCCUGUGCAUGAUCUCCUGCAGGAAAGAUACACAUAGAAUUGGGGAGGAGGAAAAUAGUAAAGAAAAAAAAUCCCACCGAAAAGAAUAAAAUAACUAGGAACAAAUUUAACCAAGGAAGUGAAAGACCUAUAUUCUGAAAACUAUAAAACAUUGAUGAAAGAAAUUGAAGUUGAUACAAAGAAAUGGAAAAUAUCCCAAUCCAUAUCUUGGAUUGGAAGAAUUACUAUUGUUAAAAUGUCUAUACUACCCAAAGCAAUCUACAGAUUUAAAGCACUCCUUAUCAAAACCCUACCAUAUUUUUCACAGAGCUAGAACAAACAAUCCUAAAAUUUACACAGAACCACAAAAGACCUUGAAUUGCCAAACAAUCUUGAGAAAUAUAAAGAGCUAUAGGUAUCAUGCUCUCUGACUUUCUACUAUACCACAAAGGGACAAUAAUCAAAACAGCAUGGUACUGCACAAAAAAAUAGACACAUAGACCAGUAGAACAGAACAGAAAACCCAGGAACCAAUCAAUACACCUAUGGCCAACUAAUCUACAAAAGAAACAAGAAUAUACAUGUAGAAAAGACCAUCUCUUCAAUAAGGAGUGCUGGGAAGAUGGGACAGACAGCUCCAUGUGAAGGAAUGAGAUUAGAUAUUUCCUCACAUCAUGUACAAAAAGAAACCCCAAAUGGUAUCUAAAUGUAAGACCUGAAACCAUACAACUCCAAGAAGAGAACAUAGGUAGAACACUCUUUGACAUAAAUAAUAGCAAUAUUUUUCAAUCUGUCACCUAAGACGAAAGCAAAGUAAAAAUAAAAUAAAACAUAAAAAUGUUUUAAAUGUUAAAAUUAAAUAUCAAAAUGAAACAUAAAUAAAAAUAAAAUAAAUGAGACCUAAUUGAACUUAAAAGGUUUUGAACAGCAAAGGAAACCACAGACAAAACAAAAAGACAACCUAAUGAAUGGGAGAAAAUAUUUAUAAAUGAUAUGACCAUCAAGGGGUUAAUAUCCAAAAUAUAUAAACAGCUUAUACAAUUUAGUAUCACAAAAUAACAAACAACCCAAUUAAAAAUGGGCAGAAGACAUGAAUAGACAUUUUUCCAAAUAAGACAUACAGAUGGCUAACAGGCACUUGAAAAGAUGUUCACUACUGUGUUAGAGAAACACAAAUCAAAAUAACAAUGAGACAUCACCUCAUACUUACCAGAAUGGCUAUCAUCAAAAAAUCUAUAAAAACAAAUAUUGGAGAGGAUGUGGAGAAAAGGCAACCCUUGAACACUUUUGAUGGGAAUGUAAAUUGGUGUAGCUACCGUGCAAAUAGUAUGGAAUUCCUCAAAAAACUGAAAAGAGAACUACAAUAUGAUUCAGCAAUUUCCUCCAUGGGUAUAUUUCCAAAGAAAAUGAAAGCACUAAUUAAAAAAGAUGUAUGCACCCCAAUGUUCACAGUAGAACUAUUACAAUAGCCAAGAUAUAUAAGCAACCCAAAUGUCCAUCAAUAAAUGUAAAUGGAUAAAGAUAUAGAUACAGAUAGAUAGAUCAAUAGAGAGAUAGAUAUAAUGGAAUAUUACUCUCCCAUAAAAAGGAAUGAGAUUAUACCAUUUGCAAGAAGGUGGAUGGACCUGCAGAGUACUAUGCUCAGGGAAAUAAAAACAUGCUUACAUAUAUAGAAAACAAACUAGGAGUUCCCGUCGUGGCACAGUGGUUAACGAAUCCGACUUGGAACCAUGAGGUUGCAGGUUCGGUCCCUGCCCUUGCUCAGUGGGUUAAGGAUCCAGUGUUGCCAUGAGCCGUGGUGUAGGUUGCAGACGCUGCUCGGAUCCCGCGUUGCUGUGGCUCUGGCGUAGGCCAGUGGCUACAGCUCCGAUUCGACCCCUAGCCUGGGAACCUCCAUAUGCCGUGGGAGCAGCCCAAAGAAAUAGCAAAAAGACAAAAAAAAAAAAAAAAGAAAAAGAAAACAAACUAGUGGAUACCAGUGAGGUGAGAGAAGGGGGAGGGCAAGAUUGGAGUAUGAGAUUAAAAGAUGCAAAUGACUAUGUAUGAAACAGAUAAGCAACAAGGUUAUAUUGCACAGCACAGGGAAUUAUAGUCAUUAUUUUAUAAUAACAUAAAACAGAGUGUAAUCUGUAAAAUUACUGAAUCACCGUGCUAUACACCUAAAAUGAAUAUAAUAUUGUAAAUCAAUUGUACUUCAAUUUUUAAAAAAUGAAAAAAAAUUAUAUGGAUGUAUAUGUAUUAACAUAUAAAAUAAAACUGUGUCUUUUUCACUGAACAUUGUCAUUCUGCAUGUAACAGUCUAUAUCAGAGUUAGGAAACUUCAGCUGUCAAGAGCCGAUAGUAAAUAUUUUAGGUUUCCUGAGCCAUAUUGUUCCUGCUGUAGCUGCUCAACUCUGUCCUUGCUCUGUAGCAUGCAAGCAGCCUCAGACAAUAUGUAAAUGAAUGAGCAAGGAUGAUCUGGCCCAUAGGUUACAGUUUGCCAAAUGCUGAUCUAUAUCAUAAUUUUAAUGACUUCAUAUUGCUUAUGGCUGUACUAUAAAUUAUUUAACCAACCUUCAAGAAAUGUAUCCCAAGGAGACUUUCAAAUGUUUGAAAAUGUAUGUAAAAAUAUGUUAACAGAGCCUUAUACAUCAGCAGGGGAAAUUUGAAACAACGUAAAUGUUCAUCAAAAGGAGAUUAAUUAGAUAAUUUGGGGCAUACAUGAUAAUUUCUUGCAAAAACCCUAAAUGGUAUAGUUAGAAUGCCAAGUACCAUUUUAUUUCUUUUCUGAAUUAUCCUGCCCCUAAUUUAGAUCAGUUUCUUCAAUUGCAUAGAUCUGAAUUAUUUUUUUAAAUCAACAGUAAUGUGAAUGGUCAUGUUAUUUUCAACUGUGUUCCAUGAAGAUAAAUAUGGAUAAGACUAUAAUACAAUAUACAUAUCAUUUAAUCUAAAGAAUUUACUCAAAUUCCUCCAAUUGCCCCACUAAUGUUCUUUUUGGUUCAGGCUCCAAUCCAAAAUCACACUUUGCAUUUAGUUGUCAAAUUUCCUUAGUCUCCUUUAAUUUGGAAGAGGUCCUCUGUCUUUCUUUGUUUUCCACAACCUGGACAGUUUUCAAGAGGGUUGGUCACGUAUGGUGAUACCCCCAUACUAAUGAGCCCAUCUACUGCCUAAAUCUUGGUUUCUAAACACCAUGCUCCAACAAAAGUACAAGACCUUGGAGAAACAGCUGAUUACAGGACUGGGACAGGAAAGUAUAAGAUAAGGCUAAAAUACCUUGUGGUGCCAGGAAAUAUCAAAGUGCUUUGAGAGAGAGAGAGGGAGGGAGAGAUAGAGAGAGAAGGUACUUUCUAAAAAGAUAAAGGAGCCCACUUGAAGGAGACUUUCCAGAGGCCAAAUCUGGGAAAACUCGACAACAAAAUGAUGGUGACAGAUCAUAACCCACAGAAUAAAGUCAGUUCAUUUGCCCAUAAUAAUAUACAUGAUGAAUAAACAGAUGAAUGGGUGAAUAAAUAGAGUAAACUUUUCCUUACUAGUAAGGAAACUUCCCACUAGCAUUUGGCACACACAAUAGUAAUAACUGUUUCAGGGAAGAAUCAUCAACAGAUGCUACAAUUAGUGGUAAAGAUGGAUACAUAACCAUAUACUUAGAGAGUCUUCAAUUAUUUUUCCAUAAAGUGUUUAUUACAUCCAAAGAAAUAUAGCAUCUUUGCAGUCGAGAAACCUGAUAGACAUCACCUUCACCAAGUGAUCAUCCUUAUCGUUUUCAGUAAUGGAACAAACCAACAUCGAAUCCCUUCUGAUGUGAUGCACUGAGACGGCCACAACCUCCCUUCUCGGUAUGUUUGCCGAAAAUGCAAAACCUGAACUUAAAUAUGAGGAAACAUCAGAGAAUAUAUAUGGACUGCGAGAGCCUCGUUGACCUAGUAUUACGCACACUAGGGCACACCCAUGUGUUAGAUGUACUUUCAGUUCAGCCCUGACUCAGUUCAUGGAGAUCCAUUGAAAGACCUUUAAGAAGAAAAUGACAGGAUGAUGGCUAUGUCUCAAUGAGAUUAAACUGGCAGCAGAGGGUAAGAUAUAAAAUGAAGGGGAUGGAAAUGAAAGCUCUGGAACCUGUGGAAGGCCUGGGUGCUUGUCAGGGAUCCAUUAUAGUAUUUCAGGCACAUGGUCGUAAUAACCUCAACUAGGGUAAUGGCAUUGGAAAUAGAGGAGAGGAGAGCAAGCCAAGAUAUAAUGUGAAGAAAAAAGUUGAAAUGAAUUUACUACUCACUGAAUGUGAAGGGGCUGGUGGAGGGAAAAGGAGGUUCCCUAAGACUAGACUGAGCACCUGGCUGUCUAGGCAUAAGAUGGGUCAGUGGAAGGAGAGGCAAGGAAGUUCUGUUUUGGAUCGAUAUUUGAGGCAUCAUCAAGAUAUCCUAAGGAGAAUGCCUAGCAGGUAGCAGGAAAGGUCAGUCUGCCAUCUGGGAAGGAGAUGCAGUGUGUUAGGAAUGGGUGCACUUGCUACAAAGAAACCCGGUUUAUAAAGCACCUGUACCUUCUGCAGCAUCACGAGGGCAGCAAGGGGCAGAACUGGUAUUUAAACCCAGUGCUUCCAAGUUCAGCAGUGUCUGUGGUCUACGUGAUGUUCUGUGUGUAGCAAAACUCUCAAAAAGAUUCAAAAGAACCACAAACAUCAGCAACUGUCCAUCUCUAAGGGCACAAUCAGGCCACGUGCAAAGUCAUAAGCCACUCAUUAAAAAAUGUACAAGAAUAAGGCAAGUUGCCUUUUUUGUCAGAGAGUCCUAUUUACACAUAAGUAAAGACUGUUCAGAGCCUCCUAGGGAAUUCAACAGUCACCUGAUGGACUGUCAGAGCCCAGCCAACCUCAGACACUACUACCUAGGCAAGUGCUGUAAUUUUACAGAUCAGGUAUCUGGUCCUGUACAUGCACAUAUGUAUAUACAGGUUAGAUGGAAAGACCCUGGUACAAGUAAAUGAAUUCUUACCAGGUCUCCCCACUUGUUUCGAUCAAAGCAGACAGGAGCUGGAGUUUCAGGUUUUAAUGUUGUAUAUUAGUUGGCCAAAGAGUUGUGUCCUGGAUAUCUAUACUGAAGAAAAGUCUCAUUCCCUGAACAUAUCUGAGUUCACAUACAUUACCGAGGUCAGCUCUGAGGGUGGGCAGAAGACCCACCACUCGAUCCGUUGGGUUCUAGGGCAUCACUUAGUUUCCCUAAGAUAUAAGGACCUGAGGCCCCCGGGGAAGAAGCUGCUAAUGGUGAACUGCAACUGUGCCAGCUGUCCCCUCCCAGUGGUGGGGAGAGGCAUUUGUGAGUC